GCUUAACACAUGCAAGUCGAACGGUAACAUAGGAGCUUGCUCCUGAUGACGAGUGGCGGACGGGUGCGUAACGCGUAGGAAUCUGCCUAUUAGUGGGGGACAACAUGGUGAAAACCAUGCUAAUACCGCAUACGCCCUACGGGGGAAAGCGGGGGAUCUUCGGACCUCGCGCUAAUAGAUGAGCCUGCGUUAGAUUAGCUAGUUGGUGAGGUAAAGGCUCACCAAGGCGACGAUCUAUAGCUGGUCUGAGAGGACGAUCAGCCACACUGGGACUGAGACACGGCCCAGACUCCUACGGGAGGCAGCAGUGGGGAAUAUUGGACAAUGGGCGAAAGCCUGAUCCAGCAAUACCGCGUGUGUGAAGAAGGCCUGAGGGUUGUAAAGCACUUUCAAUUGGGAGGAAAACAGGCAGGUUAACAUCCUGUCUCUUGACAUUACCUUUAGAAGAAGCACCGGCUAACUCCGUGCCAGCAGCCGCGGUAAUACGGAGGGUGCGAGCGUUAAUCGGAAUUACUGGGCGUAAAGAGUUCGUAGGCGGUAAGUUAAGUUAGAUGUGAAAGCCCCGGGCUUAACCUGGGAACUGCAUUUAAAACUGGCUUACUCGAGUUUAGUAGAGGGAAGUGGAAUUUCAGGUGUAGCAGUGAAAUGCGUAGAGAUCUGAAGGAACACCAGUGGCGAAGGCGACUUCCUGGACUAAAACUGACGCUGAGGAACGAAAGCGUGGGUAGCAAACGGGAUUAGAUACCCCGGUAGUCCACGCCGUAAACGAUGUCAACUAGCCGUUGGGUCUAUUCGUAGACUUAGUGGCGGAGCUAACGUAUUAAGUUGACCGCCUGGGGAGUAC
rnacentral:rRNA from 1 species